rnacentral:misc_RNA from 1 species
AUGUUCUCAACCUUAUUGGUUUCUCGAUCAAGAAGGCUUUGGACUUUGGAGGUCUUUGCCGGCUUUGUGAAAAGUCGGCUCCUCUUAAAUGCAUUAGUGGGGUCCCCUUUGCCGAUCUCUAGGCGUUGAUAAUACACUUCUACGUCUUGGGAUUUGCUCUGUUCUUUGGGAACCUGCUUCUAACCGACUCCGUCGGAGACAUCGUUCGAGCUUGCUCGACACACGAA